UAGGGAAUCUUGCGCAAUGCGCGAAAGCGUGACGCAGCAACGCCGCGUGGGGGAAGAAGGCUUUCGGGUUGUAAACCCCUUUCAGUUGGGACGAAGCUCCGUCGGUUAAUAGCCGGCUGGAGUGACGGUACCUUCACAAGAAGCACCGGCUAACUACGUGCCAGCAGCCGCGGUAAUACGUAGGGUGCAAGCGUUGUCCGGAAUCAUUGGGCGUAAAGAGCGUGUAGGCGGCCCGAUCAGUCCGCUGUAAAAGUCCAGGGCUCAACCCUGGAAGGCCGGUGGAUACUGUCGGGCUAGAGUCCGGAAGAGGCGAGUGGAAUUCCUGGUGUAGCGGUGAAAUGCGCAGAUAUCAGGAGGAACACCAAUGGCGAAGGCAGCUCGCUGGGACGGUACUGACGCUGAGACGCGAAAGCGUGGGGAGCAAACAGGAUUAGAUACCCCUGUAGUCC
rnacentral:rRNA from 1 species